rnacentral:rRNA from 1 species
AUUGAACGCUAGCGGGAUGCCUUACACAUGCAAGUCGAACGGAGUGGCGAACGGGUGAGUAAUGUAUAGGAACGUGCCCAGUAGCGGGGGAUAACUAUGCGUAAGCGUAGCUAAUACCGCAAACUAUUGCCGCGGCCGAUAUCGGAUUAGCUAGUUGGUGGGGUAACGGCCCACCGAGGCGACGAUCCGUAGCUGGUUUGAGAGGAGGACCAGCCACACUGGGACUUAGACACGGCCCAGACUCCUACGGGAGGCAGCAGUGGGGAAUGUUGGACAAUGGGGGAAACCCUGAUCCAGCCAUCCCGCGUGUACGAUGAAGGCCUUCGGGUUGUAAAGCACUUUUAGCAGGAAGGCGGUACCUGCAGAAUAAGCACCGGCUAACUACGUGCCAGCAGCCGCGGUAAUUC